rnacentral:lncRNA from 1 species
AGAUUGAUCAAUCUAUUCUCCUUUUAAUGGACUAAGGAAAUCAGAGUGCAAAAUUACCUACUUAAUACAAGCCUGUUGCGAGAUAAAUAAUUCUUUUUGAGGGAUAUUCUUAACUAUGUAUGCUAUUUCUUUAGAAAUACUGUUUCCAAAUUUAAAUUUCAAAUCAAUAGUAUCCUUUAUUUCUAAUUUAGAUCAAUUAACUACGAUGAUUUUAGUUUCAAGCUUUGAUCUUCGACUUUUAAUACUCUUGAUCAAGCGACUGAUACCAUUGCACCAUUGUCAGGAGUAGCUAUUACAUUUUUGAAGUAAUUUCCAUAUAUAAACAUUCAAUUCAUCAAUGGGUAGUUUAUUCAAUUCAUAUUUUUUAAUAGAGUUUUCUUUAAGACACCUAUACACUCUUGCAUAAUGGCUUCUCUUACUACAUCUUGUGCAUUCGACGUAUAUCGCAGGGCAAAAUUUUCCAUUGUUAUGAGGAAAUUGAGCAAAUUUUGAUAGAAAAAUUCCACCAUGAACUUUUUAUAUGUUCAAGAAUAAGAAUAAGUUCCGCCGUGCUCAACCUGAAACUUAGAAAUCUACUAAUGAUUCGACUGAAAAGGGUGUUGCUCUCAUUUUAGAAUCUCACUAACUGCUAACUAAUGAUGAAGAACAGAAACGGCAUUGGACCGUCAGAAAAGGUAUAUAAUUAGAAAGGGGAAGUACAUUAAUUCUAGAAGACAAUACAUAUUAGAAAUUAUGUCAUUAAUAACAACAUAUGAAUUAAUGGUUUUGAAAGUUAAAGGAAUAAAGAUAGAUAAUGUCCAUAAUAGGUUUAAAAAUUUUUUUCACUCCUAUAUCGAUCUCAAUCGAAUAAAUGCAAUGGAUUCUUAAAUGUAAAGUCGUUUGGUAGAAUAAUUAAUUAAAUCACUACACAUAAUCUCAUGAAAUCAAAGAGUUUUCUUAACCACACAGUAAUACUAAAGAUGAUUGUUUAUGUCAAGCUUUGUAUUACCUACAAAUGCGUGCACUCUCCAUAUAUAGGGCUCCCUGACUAAUAUCAACAUGUAUAUUGCAAUAUUUCUAAAGUUAUAGGAGACAGUAGUCAAAGUCCAGGAGAUAAUAGACAAGAAAAAGGGAAUGACAACUGUCAAAAGCAUUGCAAGGGAGUUUUAUUUGAAUAGAACCAUCGUGAACCAUCUCAUCGAAGAAGACCCUGGACUUAAUGUUUAUUGAAUGACUCCGAAACAUGAUUGGAAGGAUAUUUAUUCUAAAAAACAAACCUUGAAAGGUCCAAGUUCCUACUGAAUAAUCUCAAUAAAAAGCUUAAAAGCAUCCCACAGAACCUGGAUCUGUCACCCUUUGAUUAUGCUUUCUUCGGGUGUUUGAAAGGUGUACUGUCAAAUUCACCUCAAAUUAACAACUUAGAAGCCAUGAUUGCCAAUGAUGGUUGCCUUAUUGGAUAAUUAUAAUAUUUAUUGUAUAAUUUAUUUUCUAAAAAAGGACACUGGACACACCUGUAAGAUUGUACAAGUAUAAUUUUGACAUUCAUUCAAAUGAGGAAUGAGAAAAAUUUCUAAGGUUUUUAAGUGAAAAUCACUUAAUUAUAUCUUAAUAUGACGUCAUUUUGAUCCAUCAAAUGAAAGAUAUAGCAUUCAAUAUAAGUUCGUCAGCAAGGAUUAAUAUAAGAAAAACCUCUCUACACAAUAAAACGAAAUGACUGAGAUAAUGAAGAUGGAAGACGAGGGGAAUUUGGAUAAUGUUGCUAUAAAUCUGGACCCCGAUUCAAAAGAUAAUCUCAAGAACUCUGCAAAAAGGAAAAGAAGGCUCCAUAAUCCAAUAGAACUACAUGCUCAAACUUAUGGAAUUCUGGAGGAAAUUCUUCGAGAACAAAAGCGAAUCCUCGUCAGCAUUAUGUGCACUCUUCUUUUAUUCAUUGUCUAUCAAAUAUUCGAACUUUACUCUAUGAGAUAAAUGAUUUUAUAACAUGUCAAAAUAUAUAUAUAUUUUUUUUAAAGUAUAUUUAUCAUAAAUUAAACUUAUGACAUUCUCUUAUCAAAAAUAAACUAUAGAUGAAAUAUUUGCAAUAAAAUGUUUAAAUGGCUUAAUGACUUAUGGAAAUCCUUUGAAAAUAUUAUGAUAAAUAAUUUUGAAAUUAAA